rnacentral:pre_miRNA from 1 species
UGAGGUAGUAGGUUGUAUAGUUCACAGUCACACCCAACGGAGGUAACUGUACAACCUUCUAGCUUUCC